rnacentral:rRNA from 1 species
GAUGAACGCUGGCGGCGUGCCUAAUACAUGCAAGUCGAGCGAACAGACGAGGAGCUUGCUCCUCUGACGUUAGCGGCGGACGGGUGAGUAACACGUGGAUAACCUACCUAUAAGACUGGGAUAACUUCGGGAAACCGGAGCUAAUACCGGAUAAUAUAUUGAACCGCAUGGUUCAAUAGUGAAAGACGGUUUUGCUGUCACUUAUAGAUGGAUCCGCGCCGCAUUAGCUAGUUGGUAAGGUAACGGCUUACCAAGGCAACGAUGCGUAGCCGACCUGAGAGGGUGAUCGGCCCCCCUGGAACUGAGCCACGGUCCAGACUCCUACGGGAGGCAGCAGUAGGGAAUCUUCCGCAAUGGGCGAAAGCCUGACGGAGCAACGCCGCGUGAGUGAUGAAGGUCUUCGGAUCGUAAAACUCUGUUAUUAGGGAAGAACAAAUGUGUAAGUAACUAUGCACGUCUUGACGGUACCUAAUCAGAAAGCCACGGCUAACUACGUG